rnacentral:rRNA from 1 species
UACAGAGGUCUCAAGCGUUGUUCGGAUUCAUUGGGCGUAAAGGGUGCGUAGGUGGCGCUGUAAGUGGGGUGUGAAAUCCCGGGGCUUAACCCCGGGACUGCAUUCCAUACUGCGGUGCUUGAGAACUGGAGAGGAGACUGGAAUUUACGGUGUAGCAGUGAAAUGCGUAGAGAUCGUAAGGAAGACCAGUGGCGAAGGCGGGUCUCUGGACAGUUCCUGACACUGAGGCACGAAGGCCAGGGGAGCAAACGGG